AUAAUUAAACUAGCCCACGUAAUGCUAUAACAAUGUAGUUUGUUUACUAUUCCGGUUUUUAAAUCUAACGGCAUUUUGUCGGUUUAAAACUGUGUUGCUAAUUUUGACGAUAGCGCUGCAAUCCCCCUCUCGAAGGGAGGGGAUGCAAUAACGUCCAUCUACCCAACUGCUACAGUAUGUUUCUCCUUUGUUGUGAAGUUGGGGUAUACCCCCCGGGUGAAUUGAACUCUUCCACAUUGCUUCAUUCGGUAGGCAUUUGGGGGAGUGUCAGCUACCUGCUGGAGACAACUUGUGCUAAGCUAGCCCCUUAGAAAUCUUGACUAGCCUCCUCCUGAGGCGAUCGCAUCCUCGUCGCCUAGCAAGAAUUUCAGGCUUGACGCUUUACAAAACUCACAUUGAUCCUGCCCAUUGGCUACAGCCCCUCCAACCAGUAACCUGCUUGGCACUGGAACCUCUCCACCCACCAAAGCCUUUUCCCCUGAUCUGCCCUGAUCUCCUUGCCUGUCUGAACAGCUCAAUAUGUACCUAAUAGUACUCUUUGAGGAGGAAAAUAGAACUGACCCGGUGGCAAAGGAGUGGUUUUCGGAUGGGCUUGCCUGGUGGCCCCCUUAUAAGGACAAGGUCCAAAUUCUCAGAAGUGUCCAAAAGAGGAUUGUCCCACAACCAACGAAGGGAUGGAAGCAGUACGCUGCACGCAUGCUCUCCGAAUCAGGUCAUUUUCAACGUAGAGCCUUUAAUGCAAUUGAGUCUAAUAAGUUGCAUGAAUAACUUCUGAUGUUGUUCUGAUGUUUAGAUGUUGUUCUGAUAUUGUCACUUGUUACAUCAUUACAUACCCAUUAGUUGACGUAAUAGUUGAUGAAUAGUUGACAUGCUAAUUGGGGCUUACAGAUUCAACUGACAAAUUUCGAGAGCGGUGGGAAAGGUCAUGUGUGACAUCAGACCUCAACACCAACAAAGAGUAAGAAGCCCAAACAAUCCGAAAACGGAAAAAGUGAGCACAUAUUUGUUUGUUGACUAUGAAAUCAUUUAACCUGACCUCAUUUUAAUCUGAGUUUUGUCUACAUCAGACCAAAUGUGUGAUUUUUUUGCAUGAGGAAAAUGUCUGGCAUAUAGCUACAGCAUUCUUUCUAUUGCAAAAUGUUAUGCAUGAAAAUAAAAAUUCUAAUAAUG